GACGAACGCUGGCGGCGUGCCUAAUACAUGCAAGUCGAACGCAGUGGGGACGGGUGAGUAACACGUGGGUAACCUCACAUAAUCGGGGAUAACACUUGGAAACAGGUGCUAAACCGAUACUGAUGGAUGGACCCGCGGUGCAUUAGCUAGUUGGUGCGGGAACGGCUCACCAAGGCCACGAUGCAUAGCCGACCUGAUCGGGGGAUCGGCCACACUGGGACUGAGACACGGACCAGACUCCUACGGGAGGCAGCAGUAGGGAAUCUUCGGCAAUGGACGAAAGUCUGACCGAGCAACGCCGCGUGAGUGAAGAAGGUUUUCGGAUCGUAAAACUCUGUUUUUAGAGAAGCGGUAUCUAACCAGAAAGCCACGGCUAACUACGUGCCAGCCGCCGCGGUAAUUC
rnacentral:rRNA from 1 species